CCUACGGGUGGCAGCAGUGAGGAAUAUUGGUCAAUGGGCGCGAGCCUGAACCAGCCAAGUAGCGUGAAGGAUGACUGCCCUACGGGUUGUAAACUUCUUUUGUACAAGGGUAAACCUGAAUACGUGUAUUCAGCUGAAAGUACUGUACGAAUAAGGAUCGGCUAACUCCGUGCCAGCAGCCGCGGUAAUACGGAGGAUCCGAGCGUUAUCCGGAUUUAUUGGGUUUAAAGGGAGCGUAGAUGGGUUGUUAAGUCAGUUGUGAAAGUUUGCGGCUCAACCGUAAAAUUGCAAUUGAUACUGGCAGUCUUGAGUACAGUUGAGGUAGGCGGAAUUCGUGGUGUAGCGGUGAAAUGCUUAGAUAUCACGAAGAACUCCGAUUGCGAAGGCAGCUUACUAAACUGCCACUGACAUUGAUGCUCGAAAGUGUGGGUAUCAAACAGGAUUAGAUACCCUUGUAGUC
rnacentral:rRNA from 1 species